AUACAAAGGGUGCGAGCGUUAAUCGGAAUUACUGGGCGUAAAGCGCGCGUAGGCGGCUGAUUAAGUUAGAUGUGAAAUCCCAGGGCUCAACCUUGGAACUGCAUCUGAUACUGGUCAGCUAGAGUUUAGGAGAGGGAAGUAGAAUUUCAGGUGUAGCGGUGAAAUGCAUAGAUAUCUGAAGGAAUACCAGUGGCGAAGGCGGCUUCCUGGCCUAAAACUGACGCUGAGGUGCGAAAGCGUGGGUAGCAAACGGGAUUAGAUACCCGGGUAGUCC
rnacentral:rRNA from 1 species